rnacentral:rRNA from 1 species
CCCUUAGAUGCUCUGGGCCGCACGCGCGCUACACUGGUCGAUGCAACGAGUUUCUUUCCUUGGCCGACAGGCCUGGGCAAUCUUUGAACAUCGAUCGUGAUCGGGAUAGAUUCUUGUAAUUUUUGAUCUUAAACGAGGAAUUCCUAGUAAACGCAAGUCAUCAGCUUGCAUUGAUUACGUCCCUGCCCUUUGUACACACCGCCCGUCGCACCUACCGAUUGAAUGGUCCGGUGAAGCCUCCGGAUUGGCGUGCACCCUCGGGUGCUGCCGAGAAGUUGGCUAAACCUUACCAUUUAGAGGAAGGUGAAGUCGUAACA